AUCAUCACGCGCCAACACUGGGAACACAGAGAUAACUAAGCACCACGCCUUGUUUCAAGGAACUCCAGGCGGAUGAGUGCCUUGGUGCAAAUGCUGCCCCCAGCAACCAUGCUGCCACAGCCUGUUCACAUGAACUCUCAGCUAAUACUCACACCCUCGUCUGUAAGUCACUUCCUGUGAAAGCAUCUGCCAAUGUUGAACACUAUACUUGAGAACCUAGGAGAGUAGAGAAUGCCUCCCAUUCUGAGAGAGCCUGGAGCACUUCAGGAAGCAAGAGGAAAAUUGUGCUCAAUGCUAAUUCCCUUCCAGCGCAGGGAAGACAAAAGUGGUUCAUGUACGAUCUCGGCCCAGGAGCCACUUCAUACCAGCCAGAGUCUGCGUGGAUUCUACAAAAGAAGAGCAGCAUAUCACCCAGUCUCUUCCUAUCAACAACAGACUUCUCAGCACCGGCUCUAAGCAGCAUCUACUCCCAGGAGAGGAAUGCAGGGCAAGAGCAAACAUGGUGAGGUGGCUGCACUUCUCCACCCUUCACUCGCUUCAUUUUUCCAGGGCUCUUCUUGCUCAAAUAUCAAGCAAAGCCCUAGGGGCUGUACCAAGAGGGUAACCUGUAGCCCAUCAGUAGGAAAUGACUGUGGCCUGCAGGUGCUUUGCUGGAGAGUUGCAGAAGGCUGGGGCCUCAGGGCCUUUUAGUUACUAGGAAAUAAUGGGCUGUGACUAUAUUAUAAAUGAGUCCAAAGGUUAGCAGGGAGCAGGUGGGCAGGCAGAUACCAGGAUCCAUAGAGAAGGAAGGGAAAGAUGGAGAGGAUGAGCACAAAUUUAAUGAGCACUCUUUAAUUUGCCCAUGGUCACACGGCUGGCCAGGCAGACUGAACCCAGUUCCACAUGACUUUCCCUAACCCUGUGCUCUUAUCUUACCCCAUCUGCUGGACUGCCAAGGCUCACUGGGUGAGUUGGUACACAGGGCAUCGCUGUAGAAAAAGGC
ensembl:lncRNA